UUCUGACUAUAGGGGAAAGGUUGGAAAGGGACCUCUUGAGUUGAUGUUUGUGAUAAAAGCUACAGUUCGGCUCAUACAAUGCCCAUUUCCAACCCUCUUCUUCUAUCACUUUCUCCGCAACAGAAGCAGUGAAAACUAAAAUCUCCAUUCUCCAGCCUCGCUUGAUGUCUGAGUGGCCAUGUGACGGUGCUGGCCAUCGAUGAAAGUGGAGUGGUUCCGCACCCCUCCCCUCCCCCCGCUCCCUGCUGCCCCAUUCCUCUUCCUCUUUCUUCCAGCCUUGAAAACCGAUGUGAUGGCACCUAGAAGCACAGAAGCCAUUCUUCAGCCAUGAGAGGCACUGAAGAGAGGCUCCGCUAGCUGAAAACUCAUCACAGUGCUCAGGACAGAGGAUGUAAAGUAAACAAUUGGAGAGCAUGCUUUGCCAGACAAGAGAGAUGAACUUUUUCCAUCUACAACAUACAGAAGAGGAAGCUGAGACUCCGAGAAGUUUCAUCCCACUCAAAGUCAGCAAAGGGAGGAGGAAGCAGUGCCACAGCCCAAGCACAGGGCUCUUUCUUACACCCACAAGUUCGUCAGCUUUAAAUUCUAAUGGAAAUGAUUCUACUGGGCCUGACUGAUGGACCCGAUAUUGCUGGAUCCCACAUAUCCACGUGAUGCUGUCCCCUCUGUAUGAGGACUGAAGUGUGGAAAAUUGUAAUGGAUGCCACAAGAAGAAAAAAAGUGGAAAUGGGAAAGAAUAAGUCAAAGUUCCAACAUUUACUCUCAGACUUCAUCAUGAAGUAAUAAAAUUCUCUCUGCCA